rnacentral:rRNA from 1 species
AAUGAACGCUGGCGGUAUGCUUAACACAUGCAAGUCGAACGGCAGGACAGUACGUGCUUGCUAUUACAGGGGGGAAGUGGCGGGUGACAGAGGAAUAAUCCGGCAUCCACUUCGGCGUAGGCGUGAACGACUGGGAACUUACGCGAAUAGCGCAUAUGACCUGCGGGUGAAAGGGGGAGAUCUUUGGAUCUAGCGUGAGCUCACGGCCUGACGUCGGAUUAGUGAGUUGGCGGGCUAAAGGCCCACCAAGGCGACGAUCGGUAGCGAGUCUGAGAGGAUGGUCAGCGACACUGGAACUGAGACACGGUCCAGACUCCUACGGGAGGCCGCGGCGCGGAAUAUUGGACAAUGGGCGCAAGCCUGCUCCAGCGGUACCACGUGGGUGAAGAAAGCCUUCGUGUUGUAAAGCCCUUUUGUUGUUAAAGAAAAGCAGCACGUUAAUACCCCCCUGUUCUGACGGUACCCAAAGAAUAAGCACCGGCUAACUUCGUG